rnacentral:lncRNA from 1 species
GAAGGGAUAAAGGAUUGGUGGUGGGCUGGAUUAUUGCGAGGUUGUGGGCUGGAUUAUUGCGAGGUUAUAGGGAUGCAGUGGUUCAACAAACUUUAACCUAAGUAGUUCUAGUCUUUUUUUUUCUGCACCAACUUGUACAGAUUAUACAAUCAAUUAGAGAAAAAAAGCAACUUCUAUUAGACGGGGCAAGUUGUGCGAUGACCCAACAAUACCUAAUAUAUGUAUUAAGGUCCUAUUUGGCAUGGCUCCAACUCCAAACUCCACGUUAGAGUUGAGUGGAGCCAGC